GCGGGCCUCUCCCGCCACCCGGUGAGCAUCCGCCAGGUGCGCGCGGGGCCCCGCAUCCUCUGGGUCACGCCCCCCAGUCCGGAGAAGCAGCCCUGGCGCUGACUCGCCAGCCCUCGGAAGAAACAGACCCUGGCCGGUGCACGGCCGUGGCCCGAGGGGCGCCCGCGCGGAGCACCAGCAAGCCCCCAGCAGUGAGGGGAGACGACGUGGCAAGAGUUGGAAGCACUCCUCAGGGAAUCCCGCAGGACACUGCCCUUCUUAUACCUCCUUUCCCUCAUUUACAAAAUGGAGUAAGAAGAUUGGCUACUGCUUGGACAGCCCUUGCAAUAAAGAAUAGCACUUUAUGUGAGGGUUAACAAAGGGCAGCGCUGAAAUCUCCACUUCCACUAUUGAAUGGAACUCUGUGUCAUAAUAUCUGUUAGAGGCGUGCAAACUCAGCCACAAGGUCAUGGUCAUCCGUUACUGUUGGUCAAAAGCCGCAGCCCUACCUGAGGCUUUCAGAGAUACGAACACCAAUGACUUUUCUUUUCCUGACUCCCGAAAUACCAAGAAAAAGCAACUUCCCUAAAUGGACAGAAACAGAAAGUACCCUUGGGUGAACACAGAGGCCUGGUUCCAGCCAUCGUUAGAGGUGGGAAGGAACUCAGACCCUCUCUCCUACCUCAUCCACCAUCCUGAACCCACAAGUCACCCUUUCACAGAGAAGGAACCAGAGCCACGGAGGGCUGAGAGAGGACUUGAUAAGGAUUCUAGUCUUUUGUCUCCCCUGACCCCACCUUUUCCACCACAAAAAUACUGGCAUUUGGAGGAAGAAGAGAAGAGGGAAGGUACAGACUGUGCAAAGGAGGAAAAGGGCAGAACUGCUCUGGAAUCAGGAAUUCAGAAGCAAGAACGACACAGCAUAUGUCAGAUGGAAAUGUUGGAUUAGGAGAGCACUCAGGAAGGCAAAUAAUCUGCCAGAGGAAUUAUGGGGCACCUGGCUUCUGAAAAUGGAGGAAAAGCCGCAAUAGAGUGGCUCAUUGGUGCUCACUCCCAGGGCGCUGAGCAUCCCAGGAAGCCAACUUGGUCCCAUCCUCUCCACCUGCAUGUUAUUCCACCCCAUCAACAAUGAGUUCUGUCUGUGUCUCCUUGUCCCAGAUCUGAUCAGCACCUGACACCUAUCCAUCCUCCAUUUCCCACCUUCCCAAAGCUGCUGGAAAGACUCUGAAAGAUACCUCUGUCACUCAUUCAGCAUCUGAUUAUGUACCUCUUUGUACAACUCCUUUGUUGCUUUGUUUUGAAAUGUAAGGCUAUUUGAAAUUACUCUCCUUCCUUUCACUGCCUAAUGUUUUCAAAGAGGAGUCCACCCCUGUCUCUACUUCCUCAUCUUACGUUUAUUCCUCAAUACUCUGAACAGAUGCCACCAGGGAAACCCCAAUGUCAACUCCAAUGGUUUCAUUUUCUUACCUCACUAGAGCACUUGGCACUCCUUCUUGAAAAUCCCCUCCUUGACUUCUCCUCCACCUCUGACCAUGAUUUCUGUUUUCUCCUUCUGGCUUUAUUUCUUCAUCAUCCCUUAAACAUUGCAAUGCUUGAGGAUUUAGAUGAAGCUGUUUCUCUUCUCCCUAGGCAAUCUCAUCCAUUCCCAUCAUGCUGAUCCUUCCUAAACUAUCACCCAGACUUCUCUCUUGAGCUCCAGAUCUAUAAUUCCAAGUGUUCUCUGUACAUCCAUACCUAGGUAAUCAACCUGAAAGCCUUUUGAUUACUCCAUGCCCUAAAAUGAAUUCCUCAUCUUCUCUUAAAUGCCUU